AGUGAACGCUGGCGGUAGGCCUAACACAUGCAAGUCGAACGGCAGCACAGAGGAGCUUGCUCCUUGGGUGGCGAGUGGCGGACGGGUGGGGAAUACAUCGGAAUCUACUCUGUCGUGGGGGAUAACGUAGGGAAACUUACGCUAAUACCGCAUACGACCUACGGGUGAAAGCAGGGGAUCUUCGGACCUUGCGCGAUUGAAUGAGCCGAUGUCGGAUUAGCUAGUUGGCGGGGUAAAGGCCCACCAAGGCGACGAUCCGUAGCUGGUCUGAGAGGAUGAUCAGCCACACUGGAACUGAGACACGGUCCAGACUCCUACGGGAGGCAGCAGUGGGGAAUAUUGGACAAUGGGCGCAAGCCUGAUCCAGCCAUACCGCGUGGGUGAAGAAGGCCUUCGGGUUGUAAAGCCCUUUUGUUGGGAAAGAAAUCCAUCUGGUUAAUACCCGGAUGGGAUGACGGUACCCAAAGAAUAAGCACCGGCUAACUUCGUGCCAGCAGCCGCAGUAA
rnacentral:rRNA from 1 species